rnacentral:rRNA from 1 species
GACCCCAGGUCAGGCGGGGUCACCCGC